rnacentral:siRNA from 1 species
CGUGAUAUAUAUGCCGAAAUGUGU